UUAAAUUGAAGAGUUUGAUCAUGGCUCAGAUUGAACGCUGGCGGCAGGCCUAACACAUGCAAGUCGAACGGUAACAGGAAGCAGCU
rnacentral:rRNA from 59 species